UACGUAGGUGACUAGCGUUGUCCGGAUUUACUGGGCGUAAAGAGCGCGCAGGCGGUCGUUCAAGUCGAGUGUGAAAGCCCCCGGCUCAACUGGGGAGGGUCAUUCGAUACUGAUCGACUCGAAGGCAGGAGAGGGAAGCGGAAUUCCCGGUGUAGUGGUGAAAUGCGUAGAUAUCGGGAGGAACACCAGUGGCGAAGGCGGCUUCCUGGCCCAUUACUGACGUUCAGGUACGAAAGCGUGGGUAGCAAACAGG
rnacentral:rRNA from 1 species